rnacentral:rRNA from 1 species
AAUCAACGCUGGCGGCGUGCCUCAGACAUGCAAGUCGAACGAUUAAAGCUCUCUUCGGAGAGUGUAUAGAGUGGCGCACGGGUGAGUAACACGUAAGUAAUCUACCCUCGAGUGGGGAAUAACAACCGGAAACGGUUGCUAAUACCGCAUAAUGCAGCGGCACCGCAAGGUGACAGUUGUUAAAGAUUUAUCGCUUGAGGAGGAGCUUGCGGCAGAUUAGCUAGUUGGUAGGGUAACGGCUUACCAAGGCUACGAUCUGUAACCGGUCUAAGAGGACGGUCGGUCACACUGACACUGAAUAACGGGUCAGACUCCUACGGGAGGCAGCAGUCGGGAAUUUUGGGCAAUGGGCGAAAGCCUGACCCAGCAACGCCGCGUGAAGGAUGAAGUAUUUCGGUAUGUAACUUCGAAAGAAUAGGAAGAAUUAAUGACGGUACUAUUUAUAAGGUCCGGCUAACUACGUG